CAUGUGAAAUCCGUAGAUUAGGGCCGAAUGAAUUUAUUUCAAUUGACUAUUUUUGUUGCAUGUUGCGUUUUUUAUUCUUCAGUGUAAAUAAAUUGUAUUGUACCUCUUCUAUGAGCUGAAUGAAACAUUCAUGGAAUGUAAAAUGUAUUAUAUUCUUACUAGGCUAACGUUACACAGCAUUUUUCCUUAAUUGGGCUUUUUUAAGCUAUGUUUUAGCCACGUCAGGAGCCCUUUGUGAGCAGCAGGAGCCCUAGGCUGAGCCACCGUAGAGAGAAGAAUCAAUGUGUGCAGCUGUCACACUGCCUUGUGCACACUGGAUGAACUCAACGUUACUCAGCACACAACGGUUUGUUUCACUCAUAGAUUUUCUCAUUGUUUUUUUUUUUAACAUGUAGGCCUAUUUUAUUAUUGCAAAUCAAUGUUACAUGACACAUGUAAUACAACGUGACACACACGACCUCUGUUGGACUUAUAUAGCCUGAAUUGCUUGUGCUGUAUUCUAUCUGAUUUAGUUCUACAGCUAGUCUAUAUGUUUUACUUGGGCUGUGUUGCUGCUAAAGCCAUGUCUCCCUGUGACUGUUAUCUUCCUGUGAUCAAUGUGUUUUCGAGGCUGCACAUUUAUGGCGUUUGUGAGGGUGAGGAACUGUGGCGACUUCUGCCAGGCACAGCACCAGCACCUGGUCAUUGUGGACAAGUAAGCAGCCUUUAGCCAAACAUGAAGAAAUACCCCACCUGAAGUUGACCAGUACUCCUGGAGAGAGAGAGGCUGAUAUUUCUCCCAAGUAUAUGGCUUCGAUUGAGUUAAUCCAGCCGUUUAGCAACUAUAAACCAUUCCUGAAUGUUUUGUUUCCUUUUCAUAUUCCACUUUUUAUUUACUUUCACCCCGUUUUCUAUAGCCUAUAUCUUUCAAUAACCACCUUUAUACCCAAUCACUCACCCAUUUUGUAGUAUUUUUCUCUACUGCUGGACUGUUCAAACUCUCCUGGAAGACUGCCUUCUCCAACUGUCUGUCAAGAUGAAUCGCCAGGCCCCUGUUGAGUUCACCUAUGAGUGUAUAAAGUGUCUGAUCACCCACAACCCCACCAACUCCCAGCUGGUGAAAUUUAUAGAGGUACAGUAUUAACUCCUAUAAUACAUAUCCCCAUAUGCUUGCGUUUUUUUAGUUUAUUCUUUUGUCAAGCAAGAUUGGAAUGUACUGAAAAACAGUGUCUUGAUUACUAACCUAAAACACUUCAUUUGUAAUCAAGACCUCAAGGCUUUUGGUGUGCAGACACUAGUCAGAGUGUGUAAUGCCCCUUACGACAAAACCCCUGUGGAGCAGGAAGGCAUCACUGUUGUGGUAAAACUACUUUUUUUUCUCUUCUGCCAUGAUGUUAACCCAUCAGAGACCUUCAGAUUUGGUUGGAGCUUCAAGCAUUCUGGUUCCAAUUGUUCACUGUAUCUACAUGACAUCUAGGUCUAUCUUUUUCGUAAUGAUGGAGGUUGAAUGAAAGCGUUAGGCCUAUCAAUUACGCUACCUAAUAAAUUCAUCCAUUAAUGGAGCCUAAUACCAACCAUAUGUUUUCCUCAAACAGGAUUGGCCAUUUGACGAUGGUUCUUCACCCCCUGAACAUGUCGUUGAUGACUGGCUCAACCUCCUCAAGUGUAAAUUCCGAGACGAACCCGGUUGUUGCAUAGCAGUGCAUUGUGUGGCGGGUUUGGGUCGAGCCCCAGUCCUGGUAGCGUUGGCGUUGAUUGAGUGUGGGAUGGAAUAUGAAGAUGCUGUUCACUUUAUAAGACAAAAGAGACGUGGGGCCUUCAACUCAAAACAACUAAUGUACUUUGAAAACUACAAACCCAAGAUGUGUCUCAGCUUCAAAGAUGCUAAUAGCAAAACUGCUGCAUUCAGUAAGAAGAUAAGUGUUAUUGUCAAGGUUUACUCAAAGGAAACUGAUUAGUAUAAGAACAGUUAUUGAUUAUACUCAAAGCAAAAAAAGAAUACUCAAGAAAACUAGUCUAAAUAGUAAAAUUGAAUUUGAUUAAAGUAAAUAUUCUGAAAAGAGUUGUUAGCACUGAUAUUUUCCUCAACUACUGUAGUUGUUAAUCAUUAAAGAAAUAUUUUUAAUUGUUACUAGUUGUUGGUGGUAGGGUCAUCUGCAAGUUAGGGAAAGGCUAAAAUAAGUGUAUUUAAUAAGUAUAACAGCCUUUAUUGUUAUUCAAAACAUUAUCAUGAAGGCAUGAGCACAAAUCUGCACAAAUACUGUAUUUACCACAUACGUUCAAUGAAAUCGUGUAUUCUAUUUUCUGGUAAAUAUUUCAAGAAGUCAAUUAUCUCAACAUAUUUGGGUAACUGCCUGGUACCAAAUGGUGCCUAGUCGGGAUUAUUUGAAUGAAUCUUGAAUCAAAUGUAAUUUAGCCUAUAGUUAUUAUCAUGAUAUUACCAUUUUACUAUGUCAUUUCAGAGUAAAUACUGUAACGACCCUUGGUUUAUGAGCUUGGAUAUUGACUCUGCCAUAUGAGCAUGCUUUUGUGGCAUAGUCGAUGGCGCGCAGGGCUUACGGGCUAGAAGGUUGAGGACUUGAGCGCACUCCCUGCCUGUUUCAUUACAUUGUAGUAGACCAGCCAACCUGGAAAAAGUACUUGCUUAUUAUUUUUUUUUGCUUGUUGAAGGCUGUCAUCCAUGCUAGAUCAAACAAUGAUGGGAUGUUACAUUUUAAUUUUUAAGGCAAUUUAAGGGUUAAAGGUCAAAUCUGGUGAAAAAGGGCAUAAUGAAAAUAGUAAUUUUUAUUGUACACAGUGAGUCCAUGCAACUUAUUUGACUUGUUAUGUACAUUUUUUACUCCUGAACAUAUUUAGGCAUGCCAUAACAAAGGGAUCUUGUUUCUCAUGGUCUGAGAGUCUAGGUGCCUUUUGGCAAACUCCAAGCGGGCUGUCAUGUGCCUUUUACUGAGGAGGUGCUUCCGUCUGGCCACUCUACCAUAAAUGCCUGAUUGGUGUAGUACUGCAGAGAUGAUAGAACCUUCCAGAAGGACAACCAUCUCCACAGAGGAACUCUGGAGCUCUGUCAUUAUGGGAUAUUGUUUGUAGAUUGCUGAGAAUUAAAAAAAAAAUGUUAUCCAUUUUUAGAAAAGGCUGUAACGUAACAAUGUGGAAAAAGUUAAGGGGUCUGAAUAAUUUCUGAUGGCACUGUAUAUAUCAUUUCAUAGAAGCUUUUAAAAUUGUCAAUUGCUUUGUUGAUUCUAAUGACCUCUUUUGUAUCUUUAACUUUUUAAAUUAUAACUGGCAGUAGCAUGUAUUCGUUUUGUGAGUGCUGUGAGAUAUUUAACAGGUUUAUUUGCCAUUAAGUAGUGUACUUUAUUUGAGUUUAAUCUGUAGUUUUUGGUUCUCUUCAAAAGUAAAAGAUUGUAUUCCUGCUUAAGUUUCUUUAUCUUGUAGAGAUUGUUGUGGAAAUUACCACCAGGGACACCUGAAGUAAAUCUUAAAUUAAUCAUUCUUUAUUAACAGCAAUCUGAAGUGGUCACAGUCAAACUUAGAUGCAUAAAGUACAGGUAUGAAGUGAGCUCCCCCGGGGCAUUCCUGUUAGUUGUCUUAUAUACUGUUUACACAGACAAGUCACAUUUGCAUGAUUUAGCUUAUUCAUAAUGAAUUCAUCACUAACAUUUGGUUCAUGCAUGAGACCGACCAAUGCCUCACGAAGCUUCUUCUCUCCAAGCUAAGACCUUGAAGCUGAGAUAUCCCUUUCCGUUCUCAAAACAAUGUUCUGGGUGUACUGCCAAAUUGAAGAUACUGAUCAUGAGGAUCCCUCCCUGGCACGAUCAAUCAGUCAUUUGCAUGAACCCAUUCAAAUUGUCUAUUAGAAAAGCAAAAACAAAAUGUUCCUUCACAUUCCCUCUUAUCACUUCUGUGAUAAUAAUCGUAACAUUUUAAGGUAAGCAUUAGAUUAUAGCUUCUAUCAAAACGUUCUAUACUUCUAAUAAAGUAAGGGAAAUCAACACAAAACCAAAGACACUUUCAAACCCUUCAUUCUAGGUUGUACUUAUAAAACCAUUGCAGUAGAAUGUUCUAACUUAAGACCUUCACUUCAUACAGUUACACGUAUGCUUCAUUACACAAUUUAAUUUAUGGAUUCUGGCAAUGACAUUUCAGCUGGAGCUUUUGUUGUGAGUGGCAUGUUAAUGACAGAAUGGUAUCUCAAUGCAUUUUAUGUUUAAAUUACAAUCAACCUGAUACCCCUAAUAAACAAUUUUGGACAUGCCUAAAUCAAUUAGGGCAUGGUUGACCACCCCCCUCACGGCUUUUCUUAAUUUUCUUAUUCAGAUAGCUUUACAGUUUGUCCUCCCAAUGGCACAUGUUCAAAGUGGAUGGCCCUUGAUAAUAUCCCGAUUUCAAUAUCUGGGUAAUAAUCAGAUUUUCCCAAGCAGACGAAUUGCUCACCUGUCAUUUAUGGUCCAUUAUGUCUUGUCCAUUUUCUUACUAGUACACCAGCAGCAUGAGAGAAGUUUGGACGGGAUCUCUCCAUGCUUACUCCACGUGGACUCGUCGUACCCCUGAGAGAAAAGGCAUGAGAGAAAAGGCAGUUGAUCGCUUCGACUGGAUGCUGUG